AUUCAGCUGACGAGUCUUAAAUAGGACGAAAUGUGCGUCAAACUGGAU
rnacentral:hammerhead_ribozyme from 1 species